rnacentral:rRNA from 1 species
UGCCUAAUACAUGCAAGUCGAACGAGUUCUCGUUGAUGAUCGGUGCUUGCACCGAGAUUCAACAUGGAACGAGUGGCGGACGGGUGAGUAACACGUGGGUAACCUGCCCUUAAGUGGGGGAUAACAUUUGGAAACAGAUGCUAAUACCGCAUAGAUCCAAGAACCGCAUGGUUCUUGGCUGAAAGAUGGCGUAAGCUAUCGCUUUUGGAUGGACCCGCGGCGUAUUAGCUAGUUGGUGAGGUAAUGGCUCACCAAGGCGAUGAUACGUAGCCGAACUGAGAGGUUGAUCGGCCACAUUGGGACUGAGACACGGCCCAAACUCCUACGGGAGGCAGCAGUAGGGAAUCUUCCACAAUGGACGCAAGUCUGAUGGAGCAACGCCGCGUGAGUGAAGAAGGCUUUCGGGUCGUAAAACUCUGUUGUUGGAGAAGAAUGGUCGGCAGAGUAACUGUUGUCGGCGUGACGGUAUCCAACCAGAAAGCCACGGCUAACUACGUGCCAGCAGCCGCGGUAAUACGUAGGUGGCAAGCGUUAUCCGGAUUUAUUGGGCGUAAAGCGAGCGCAGGCGGUUUUUUAAGUCUGAUGUGAAAGCCCUCGGCUUAACCGAGGAAGCGCAUCGGAAACUGGGAAACUUGAGUGCAGAAGAGGACAGUGGAACUCCAUGUGUAGCGGUGAAAUGCGUAGAUAUAUGGAAGAACACCAGUGGCGAAGGCGGCUGUCUGGUCUGUAACUGACGCUGAGGCUCGAAAGCAUGGGUAGCGAACAGGAUUAGAUACCCUGGUAGUCCAUGCCGUAAACGAUGAAUGCUAGGUGUUGGAGGGUUUCCGCCCUUCAGUGCCGCAGCUAACGCAUUAAGCAUUCCGCCUGGGGAGUACGACCGCAAGGUUGAAACUCAAAGGAAUUGACGGGGGCCCGCACAAGCGGUGGAGCAUGUGGUUUAAUUCGAAGCAACGCGAAGAACCUUACCAGGUCUUGACAUCUUUUGAUCACCUGAGAGAUCAGGUUUCCCCUUCGGGGGCAAAAUGACAGGUGGUGCAUGGUUGUCGUCAGCUCGUGUCGUGAGAUGUUGGGUUAAGUCCCGCAACGAGCGCAACCCUUAUGACUAGUUGCCAGCAUUUAGUUGGGCACUCUAGUAAGACUGCCGGUGACAAACCGGAGGAAGGUGGGGAUGACGUCAAAUCAUCAUGCCCCUUAUGACCUGGGCUACACACGUGCUACAAUGGAUGGUACAACGAGUUGCGAGACCGCGAGGUCAAGCUAAUCUCUUAAAGCCAUUCUCAGUUCGGACUGUAGGCUGCAACUCGCCUACACGAAGUCGGAAUCGCUAGUAAUCGCGGAUCAGCACGCCGCGGUGAAUACGUUCCCGGGCCUUGUACACACCGCCCGUCACACCAUGAGAGUUUGUAACACCCGAAGCCGGUGGCGUAACCCUUUUAGGGAGCGAGCCGUCUAAGGUG